UACGUAGGGUGCAAGCGUUAAUCGGAAUUACUGGGCGUAAAGCGUGCGCAGGCGGUUUUGUAAGUCUGUCGUGAAAUCCCCCGGGCUCAACCUGGGAAUUGCGAUGGAGACUGCAAGGCUAGAAUCUGGCAGAGGGGGGUAGAAUUCCACGUGUAGCAGUGAAAUGCGUAGAGAUGUGGAGGAACACCGAUGGCGAAGGCAGCCCCCUGGGUCAAGAUUGACGCUCAUGCACGAAAGGCGUGGGGAGCAAAGAGGAUUACGAA
rnacentral:rRNA from 1 species